rnacentral:rRNA from 1 species
GGACUACAGGGGUAUCUAAUCCCGUUCGCUCCCCCAGCUUUCGCGUCUCAGCGUCAGGGGCAGGCCAGGAAGCCGCCUUCGCCACUGGCAUUCCUCCCGAUAUCUACGCAUUUCACCGCUACACCGGGAAUUCUACUUCCCUCUCCUGCCCUCAAGCCUCGCAGUAUCCCGCGGCCUCCUACAGUUGAGCCGUAGGCUUUCACACGGGACUUACAAAGCCGCCUGCACGCGCUUUACGCCCAGUAAUUCCGGACAACGCUCGCCCCCUACGUCUUACCGCGGCUGCUGGCAC